ensembl:lncRNA
GUGUAACCUAGAGAGGCUGUUUACUACCACUGUCUAAUCCCUUUGUUAUCAUUCUCCUUGAUUGUCACAAGCAGGGGAAAAUAGUUCUGUCCUGCUUCUAAAAACUUAGUGUAACAACCACGUUUUCUUGGUUUUAGUUAGUAAUUUUUCUCUGAUUAAUGGUGAAAGAAAGACUCAGAGGGAAAAGCUACAUUAAAAGAUUUAUGGAUAUAUACACUUAAGACCAUGAUGAAGUAUGAUUCACACCAACUUCAGAAUGAUUGCCUUUGAGGAGAAAGGGAGGGAGAAGGGCCACGAGAUGGGGUUUUAGCUGUAUCUGGAAUGCUUUAUUUAAAAAAUGAAGGGAUGAAGGAAUGAGAGUAUGAUUUGGGUUGUUUGCCUUGUUUUUGGUAAGUUUGAAAUAUUGUAUAAUUUAAAAAAAUGUAGUGUUCUCAAAAUUAUGGUAAUUGAUUAAAACUAUCAAAAUAAAGGAUGCAUAGCAAACAAGUGCCCUUGUUCUGAACAUUUUUAUGCAUUUAUUUCACCAUUUGUCUUCUUCCUAUCUGAAAAAUUGCAGAUGCAAACACAGAAGGUUGGGGGGACAUGGAUAACUUCUAGGGUUGUGUGAGGGGUUGUCCUGAGUAUCUUUCUCCCCCUUUCUCUUUCAUGGGGGAGGGUGCUUCCUAAUCACCAGGGAGAUUAACAGUCAAACAACUCUCCAAAAAGCAACCUAGGGCUGGAAGGAGGAUCUGCUUCAUUUCUUCUAAGCUGGGAAUUUGCAGCUGGGCCAAAAAUUUGGGACAGUGUCUUUCUAUGGAGCCAAAGGACCUUCUACAUCUUUUCCCAAACUGAUUUCUUCCUGGUACUCCUGGCAGGAAGAAAUCCAAGUAACUAUUCAGGUGGCUUUUUCCUUUUUUCUGAGAGUCCAGGAUCGCCUUCUGGGAUAAAGUUUCUUCUUGCCCAUGGUGCUUUGCUGUGACAUUGUAAUUGCCUCUGUUGAAUUGAAUAAUACAAAUGGGUUGUUUCUAUGGUAUCGGCUAAGUGGGAUGAAAAGGUGAAACCCUAGAUCUUGCGCUGGGAGGUCACGGUGCUACCACCCCCCAACACUAACUGUCCGUCAAAGCUGACCGGCAGCCAGGCCCCCUGUUCUCCGAGCUCUGGCGCUCAUUUGUAACUUCCUGAGCAAAUUCACGCUUGACAAAGAAAAUGACUUUAGUUUAUGUUGUCACUAAGCCCAGAAAAUCCCUGCCAACCCCCAGCUGCCAGCUUUCCUAGGACCUUCUUAUUGGUGGAGAAUUUUAAACUGAAGGUGAGUGAGGAGCCGCGUCUCCCAGUCCCUCCCAGCCAGGCUUUGAACUAACAAUAGGGCAGGUUGAAUGAAGGCUGAUAAAUGCAAAUCCCGGAAUGCCGACACCGGAUCACAGCGCGACCGCCUGGGUGCGCGCUCCAGCCGUCGCAGCGACCUAGUCACUCGCCACGUCGGGAUGCUCGGUAGAUUGCAUCGUUUUAGCACCACUGGAGUCCCUACUGCUUCCCUCCGCAGGCCCGAGCUCUCGUUCAUCGCCUGUGGGCCGCCCGAGUCCCCCUGCCACUAAAUUGAUCUGAUUGAGUAACUGGCAUGUUAACUCAGGAGAAGCACCUGGGAGAGGGGGCGGGGAAAUAAAAGUGGGCUUUUACCCUCUCUUGCUCAGUUUUAGCUCCACUUUACUCAAAGCAGGUUUUCCUGGUUGUAACAGAAUAAGAGAUGCUAUUUUCUUAGAAUGGUAAAAGCAAACAAACAACAAAAAAACAAGAGGAGAGAUAAGAUGAGCAGGUGGGAAUUUCCCUUAAAAUGUACUUCUGGCACUUUUUACUUCGGUGCAAACUGCCCAUAGUCCCUGCUCCCUUCCUUCCCAGUUUCAUUUCGCCAGACUCCUUUACUGUCCCACCGCGGACGUUCUUGAGUAUCUCAGCCCCGAACUGAGUAUCGAGGGGUUUCCCUAGGUUUGGGACCCUUUGAAACUUGAGGGAGAAAACAAAACAACAACAACAAAAAGAGUUCAUCUCCAGUACUCCUGACCUUGGCUGCCGGGGAACCCCUCAAGGAGGUGUAAGCCCUGGGGUCCGGGCCCAGCGCUCGGACCCUCGCGCCCAGUCGCUGGGUCCCCUGGCGGUGGCGCCAGCUCCAGUCCGCUCUCCGCGGCUCCAGUUCCUGAUUUCCGCCGGAGCUGAGGCCUGGCAGGGAGGGGGCUCCGGAGUGAGUGUGAGGAUUUGAAUGAGAAAGCAGGUUGUGGCGGCGGCGACCCAUUCUGUCCUGCCGGUCUCUGGGGAUCUACAGGCUGGUGUGCAGACGAGUCCUUCUGGGGGGCUUUUCUGCUCCUCCACAGGGUUUUGGAGUUGGAGUCACAGGGACCAAUAACUCAUCAAGCCAGCACUUCGGAGGACUCAGAGGAAUCCAUCUCUCGAGCACUCAAAGUUGAGCAGUUCCGGCCGGGACACGCUCUUUAGGACAGUGUGAGGUGUGCGAGUGGGGAUCCCUCAAACCCCCUGGCGGAGAACUGGACCACAACUGGUCUUGAGGUCCCGUAAUUUCGAAGGAUGGGUGUGUGAGCCUGCGCCAGGAUUUAACUCUCAGGUCUCUUGUGGUGUCUCAACCAUAAAACCUGCAGUCUUGGCAAGUGCAGUUCUUGAAUUUGGGAGGAAAAGAGAAACCCUGUAAUUCUCAGGUUUCUUAGAUGAAGAUAAGUUCAACUUUAAAAUUCAUGAAGAGAUUCAGGAAUUAUUAUCCCAUACUACUUAAUGAAACAGUGAGACUUGGAGAUUAGUUUCCUGCCCCAAAUCUAAGAAAUGGCAAGCCACGCCAGUAUUCUUGCCUGGAGAAUCCCAGGGCCGGAGGAGCCUUGUGGGCUGCGGUCUAUGGGGUUGCACAGAGUUGGACACAACUGACACGACUUAGCAGCAGCAGAGUUCUUGUGUCCUAGCAUUACUGAAGGAAAGAAGAAGUGGUGAGCGUUCAGACUUCGGUGGGUUCAGCUGCUGUUUGUUUGGACACUCAAGAGAUCCCUGCUCUUCCCUGAACAUGGAUGAGAUGCUUAGGAAUAAUGGAGAAUUCUGAGGGUGGCAGGGAACCAAGCCCUGGCUACAAGAAUAUUGUGCUUCCCUCUGGUUCCCAUAAUUUUAGUGUGAACAUAUUAGAUAUUCAAGGGGAGGAAACUGUGCAGGAAAAUAUAAUAGGAGAAGACCCACAGGCCAGGGACAACCAGGAGUUAGCUGCUGUGUCUAAAAUCUUGUUUGUACUAAUUUAAGGAAAAUACACCACACUACAAGUUUCAUUUGAGGAAUUUGUAAUACCGUUUGGUUUUAUUUCCCUAUUUUGUCUUGUUAAUGCUUUUUAUGACACCUUUUUUCAGAUGGCAACUUUGGACAAGCUGUUUAUUAGUUAGAUUUAAAGAAUCAAAUACUUAUACGCUUGACCAGGAAGUAUGUUAGAUGCAUUUAACUUGGGCUAACUACAUCAGCUUCAGAUUUUUUUCCUCAGAGCUUCUUAAUAAUUAAGAAUUCAGCACAUGAAAAACAAAGCUUCCAAAAUUUAAGACAUUUGGCUAGAUUUUUUGAUGUUCUUUUGAGCUUAAAAAUUUUUAUAAUCAAAUUAGGUUUACUAUCCCAUCUUGUUCUUUACUGCUUUGAGGACCUCUAGCCUUUCCUUUUACAAUUUCUGAUGUCCUAAUAUUUGCAUUGAUGUAAGUUCUCUGUUGAACAUCUAGAAGGUUAACUUCUCUGCUGGCUUUAGAGAAAUUAAACUCUAAGUCUUUACCCCCGUUAUCUUAGGCUAAAAUCUUUGCAAAAUUAGUCUUUAUGGUCACUGCUGUCCUAUUGCUUAGUCACUAAGUCUUGUCCGACUCUUUCACAACCCCAUGGACUGUAGCCUACUGGGUGCCUCUGUCCAUGGGAUUUUCU